AUGUCUUCGGCGCGGUUGGUGCCGGGCCGAGAAGAAGCGGCGCCGCCCAUGGACCCUCCUGCUGCUGGCGCCAAGAAGGAGGAGGUCACCAUCAUCAUCGCCCUCCCCAACGACGUCCUAGGCACCAUCAUCUCCGCGCACCCAAUCGACAAGGCCGCCCGCACAAACGCCAUCUCCAAAGGCUGGAAACACCUCUGGCGCGACCAAUUAGUUUUAAAUCGCGGGCGAAACUCGAGCGAUCCUGGCGCAAUCGCUGGCUGGGAGCCUCCCCGCGACGCUAUCGUUGAAAAAACGCGAUCUGCGGUAAUCACGCGAUCGCUGCGCGAAACGACGCUAAAUCCCUUCGCGGUCGCUGCAAUUUAG
rnacentral:rRNA from 1 species